rnacentral:lncRNA from 1 species
UUGAAGUUGGCUAAGCCAUUUUACUGGAAAUUCAAGUAAUGAAGUGCUGAGUCAUUAAGGAUGUAAGUAGGAGGUGGCCUUUGAGCAUGUUAGUAGCUACCCACUAAGCAAAGGUAAUUACUUGAAAAUUUAAAAGGAAACCCAGGGUCAUGAAAUCAAGGACUCUGCUCUUUCCAUUCCAUUUUACAUCUGAUCCAAACAAACAGUCAUUCCCUUCCAUUUCGUUCCAAAAGAGAGAAGUAAAAGCAUUACUCAGCAAGCCUAUUAAGUAACCAUCAAGUAAAAACAGUAUGGGGCAAGGAAAGGUUUGUGAAAAGCAAGGCUUAAAAUCCUAUAAAGCUAAAGCAAAAUCAGUUCAGUUCUGGCUAUCAUUGCCCAUACUAUCUGACCACUUCCCGUCCUCUAACCUGCCGAAACUCCCUGCCCAGUCCUUGGCCAGUUCACUCAUUCCAUCCGUGUCCUGUCCAGGCUAUUUUAUGUGAUUAGAACAAAGAAUUAAAGCUAAGGAGGAGUUAUAUCAAGAUCAAAAUCAAGCUCACAAAAAGGUAUAUAUAUAUAUAUAUAUAUAUAUAUAUAUAUAUAUAUACACUUAUAUAUAUNNNNNNNNNNNNNNNNNNNNNNNNNNNNNNNNNNNNNNNNNNNNNNNNNNNNNNNNNNNNNNNNNNNNNNNNNNNNNNNNNNNNNNNNNNNNNNNNNNNNNNNNNNNNNNNNNNNNNNNNNNNNNNNNNNNNNNNNNNNNNNNNNNNNNNNNNNNNNNNNNNNNNNNNNNNNNNNNNNNNNNNNNNNNNNNNNNNNNAUGGCAAAAUUAGUCAUCACUAAGAGCCAUCAUAUAUACUAUUAUUUUGUGAUUGCUUAAAAAGUCCAUCACAAAUUACUAUCUUUUGUGAUUGUUUUUAAAAACUGUCACAAAAUUCCGUCACGUAUUCUUGUUUUUCUAGUAGUGACUCUUAGUUAAGUCAAACCCUUAUUCUGAUUAAUUAAACUCUAAACAUUUAUUGGUUAAGCCAAACUCUUAUUCUAAUUAGCUAAGCAUUCGUUACGGAUGUCGAUUUUCAGUUUUUAAUCUUGGUCAUUACUUCUUAUUUUCAAUGAUAUAGAUGAUGUAUGUCCGGUAAAGAUCUAUAACAAAUACAUGCUAUGGAUUAUUACAUACAUAUAUAUAUAUAUAUACGGUCCGGACCAAGUGCAUACCCCUUAUCUUACUUACCCGUGCUCACCCCCCUUUAGGCGACGGUUUCGGUCAUACAACCGUCGCCUAUACUUUUAGCGACGUUAUAUGUUGUCCGUCGUUAAAAGUAUAGGCGACGGUUGUAUGACCGAAACUGUCGCCUAAAGAGGGGUGAGCACGGGUGAGUAAGAUAAAUGGUAUGCACUUAAUCCUUGUUCUAUAUAUAUAUAUAUAUAUUAGUGUGUAUUAUGUUGUUUUAAAGUACAUGAAAAAAUUGAAUUGGUAAGUUAUAUGGCUUGACUUGAAAUUGAUAAAUAAAGCAAUGGGUAAUUGAUCAUGUGUAUUGAUCAAUUAUGGGAAUCGAAAUUCUCUAUAAUGAUUAUGUUAAAAUCAAAGAAAUUGAAAAUUUGAAAAGUUUGUAAACUAACUAGUGUAGUAACUAAUAGAGUAUUCAUGAAAUUUGUUAUGUAUUGAAUUGCCUUUAACUGAAAUAGAGCAAAGGAGUUAGGCUGGUUGUGUGGUGAUAUAAGGAAGCUAAAAUGGGCUAAUAGGACAAACAAAUGGCUAUGAAAAUUUCAUUUCAAAACAGCACAUAUAAGAUGUUUGAUAUAAAUCCUCUAUGAACUUUUAUCGUUAAAAAUCAAGAAUUUGAUGAAGCCGAAGCUAAGAUUACUUGUAUAAACCUUUUAUAUGAUUAGUUAAGGGUUUUGAGCAGAUUAAAUUGAAGAGUGAGUAAUUUUAAGCCAAAACAAAAAAUUUGAAAAUUUGUAUGUCAGGCUGAUUUGGGCUAACUAUUUCGGCUAGUUAGACUUGCUGGAAAAUUAUAAUUUUCUGGGGUCCUGUAAUAUGCAAUCCUAGCUAGCCAUAGCCUUCAAAAUGGACUAAUUUUGAGUUCAGAAGACUGAGUUAAGAUGUGCCAAAGUGGGUGCGUCGAAACUGUCCAACUCUGGAAAACAGAUUUGAAGCAGUCUCCUCCCACGAAUUUUCUGGAAUUUUGUGUUAGGAAUUUGAAAAUGUUUAAAGAAUAAAAGUUGUAGCCCCAGAAGUUAGCUUUGCUUGGGCUCAAGAAACGCUCAAAAAUGUUUUGAAACGAAGAAGUUAUGACUGUUUUAGCGAGAGUGGGUAAAGCUGGAAAAAAUUUAAAAACAGUUGCGACCAAACAUUUUUGGGGUUUGCUUUGGACUGCCUAUGAUGUCCAAAAUAGGUGGAUUGUAUUUUAUAAAUAUAGCUUAAUAUGGUGUCUAAAAUAUAUCCAAAAUUGGUUGUAAUCGAAGUUAUGAGCUAAAAGAUAAGAAAUUAUAAAGAAGCCAUUUAAACUCUCUAGAAAUUGAAGAUAGCAACUGAGUUUAGAAGGAAGUUUAAGCAAUAUAUUGACAAAAGGAGGAUUGAAUUCAGCCAUAACAAGCUCAAGACAUGAAUUGAAGCAAGCUUAGAGCAAGAGUUAAGUUAUGAUAUCAAUUAAGUAAGGUAAAUUAUACUUACUCAUCAAAUUUAUAGAAAUUGAAAUAAAGAUGGAAUUGAAUUGCUUUAUUGGUUGAGAAAUUGAUUUGGUUAAUGCUAUUGUAUGAGUUCUGAAGUGACAAGGGAAGAUUUUCAUGGAAAAAUCAUUGGCUAGAAUAUGUCUAAAAGGUUGUGAAUUCUGGGGUUUUAAACCAUGCAUUCAUGGUGUUUGUUAAAAUAUCUCAAUGAGACAAAUAUGUUAAAACAUGAGAAUUGGCCAGUGUUAUGAGUAAGAUAGCCUGCAUAUCUGUAUUAGAAGAUAACCUAACUUAUUUGUAUGUCUGGAAUAAAGCCCAAAGUGAAGUUCAUAAGUUUUUGUUAAACUUGAAUUUGGAUGAAAAAUGUGGUGACAGGGCAGUUUUGAGCCUCUAUAAGUACACCUUAAAGAAUCUGUUUGGGCCAUGUUAUAUUUUUAUAAAAUAUUAUGUAGUAACAUCUCAAACAUAUCCAAAAUUGAAAUCAUUCGGAUGUAUAGACUGCAUGAUAGAAAAUCACAAAGUAGCUACGAAAGUAACCAAAAUCUGGAAAUCUGUAGAAGCAGAAAAUUGGCCAAGUCUGAAACAGCUGUGCGUGGGCUGUUUCGGGUCACUGUUUCGAAGCCUUGCCAAACUCUUUCCAUAGAUGUUAUAUUUUUUAAAAAUACUACGUAGUAUGAGGUAGAACAUAUCCAAAAAUGGAUUCAAUUUGAUGUAUAUCGAGUAAGAUAAAAAUUCGUAAAACUAGCCCGAAGACCACAAAAUUCAAAAUUUCCAAAUUUUGUUUCUGCAGAAUCUGGGCAGUAGGCAGGCUGUCUGGGUUGUUUCGGCACGCCAAACCAUUUUGGUUCGCUUUCUGGACGUAACGUAAAAUUUUGAUAUGUUGCUUAAUUUUUCGUGUUGAAUCCAAAUAUGUAAUUGUUUCGUAGCAUUUUUCGGACAACCCAAAAAGUGUAAAAUUAAAAUGAGAAAGAAGUUUCCUUUAUUUUGUUAACUAUGAUGUAAGUUUAUGAUAUAAUUAGAUUGUGUAGUCCUAUGAUGAAUGUACUUGUUAACCUACGUUAGAUGUAAUAUCUCAGGCGUAGAAUGAAGAAACGAUUUCUAAGUUAAUAUGGAAAAUAUUAUUAAGUCUCAGAUGAAUUGAAGUCCCGAAUGGGAUUGAUGAGCAUAUUAUAACCGACUUGUAAUGAAUAGGUCGUGCGACAAUGGAUAGAAGUUAAAUCAUGAACGUUCGGUGGACGUAUAGUGACAAAUGCAAACUGAGGCAAGUUUUUCAGUUCUGUUAUGUUUGUGGAUUGAAUGUGGUUAUGUGCUAAAUUACAUAUCGUGCUCUAUGAAUUGUUAAAGUCAAAAUAUGACUAAGUUAAUUGGGUAUGGAACUCAAUUUAUAUGUGAUAUGUGAUAACACAUGUUGUAUGAUGUAAUGCGAUAAUUGGAAAUGUAUAAUGCAGGAAUUUAUGCAUUGCACGAAAUUAUUGAUGCAUGUAGGACAUGAAUAGUAAAGGAAAUAUAGUGCAUAUGAAAUUGUGUGCUAUGUGAAACAUGAUAGACUGUUAAAUUUAUUGGGCUGUCAAGCUCAAUCUUGCAAACACAAACUCUUUGCAGGUUAAUGAUGUUAAGCGAUAUUACUUGCUAUACAUAUGAUAAAGAUUGAACGAUGUGCAAAAUGAAUAUAUUUUCUUGAAUUAGAAAUAGUUUAAAUCUAUGAUUGAUUGUUUCGUCAAAUGUAAUUGGCAGUUAUGUAUAGUUUGAAAUGUUGAAUGGAUAAAGAAUGUUUAUUUUGAAAUGAGAAUAAAUAUGAUUCUGAAAUAAGUGAAUCAUCGAUAGAAAAGAUAUUAAGUAUUGAGACUUAAGUUUUUAAUACGUUUACACAGAUUAUACAAAUCAUAUAAUAAAUAUGAUUCUAGUAAAAAAAAAAAGAAUUGUAAAGGUUGCGAUUCAAGGAAUGAAUGAAUGGAAAAGAAAAAAAAAUUAUUCCAUAUUUUAGCUAUUUUAACAUUAAAUAAUGGUUUAAAGCUAGAACAAAAUAAUAUUAACGCACAAGAUCGGGAAGGAAAAUAGUCCUGAUUUUGGGGGCGUUACAAAAAUAACAUACGAAAUUGCAAAUGGAUUUUCACCUGUCAUACAGUACGUAAUCCGCGUAGACAGGUUAUUCCGACAUAUUAAAGGAUGAAUAUGAAAAAUAGUAUUCCUUAUGAAUACGAAAGAAAUAAUAUCUCUUACCAAACAAAAAUAACAUCCCUUACGAAUACAACAAAUAAUAUCUCUUACCAAACAAAAAUAACAUCCCUUACCAAACGAAAAAUAACAUCUCUUACCUUAGUAGAAGACUGGAUACUGCAAUAGUGAAGUAGCAUAAUACUCUUCUUCUUUCUCUCUAUAGUUUCUCUCUAUAGCUUCUCUUGUGAGUCUUCGUGAAUUGGUGAGAAUGAAAGAAGAAUUAAGCUUCUAUUUAUAGGAGAAUAGACUAAAUAGUAACUAAUUCAUAAACUGUCCAGAUUGAUUUACUUUUAGAAUGGACGAUCUAUAUUGAUUACUAUUAAAAUCACAACCGACGGUCCAGAUUGAUUACUUUUAAAACCACCACCGACGGUCAGGAUUGAUUUACUUUUAAAACAACCAUCGACGGUCCAGAUUGAUUUACUAUUAAAACCACCACCGACGGUCCAGAUUGAUUUACUAUUAAAACCACCAUCGACGGUCCAGAUUGAUUUACUAUUAAAACCACCAUCAACGGUCCAGAUUGAUUUAACUUAUUACACUUUAGUACCCCUAAAGUUUUUCAAGUUUGUAUUAUUCCCCUCUAACUUUUGUAAUUCACUUAUCUUCAAUAAACACAUUCUUAAUACUUUAACAGUUAUUCAUCAUUAAUAUUAUUACUAACAAUAUCGACAACCAGAUCAUUCCCAGGAAAGAGGGGGCUUUCUGAUAAGAAUUUCUUCUUAUUGGCGCGCAAUUAGGUGACCAAACCUCUUUCCUCGACAUAACUUUCUAGACAUUGUCAAAAAUAUAAAUAGUAAUAUAAAUAAAUGUAUUGUCUCAAUUAUUGAUUUAAUAAUAUAAAAUAUUAUGCAGAUGAUACUGUGACAAUAAUUGAAUCAAAAAACGUGAGAUACUAUAUGCAACAAUUACUGUACCAAUACUUGAGUAAACUGAGUGGCUUCUUACGUAAGCAUUAAUACCAUGUGCUACUAUGCAACCACGCGUAUUACUAUAUUUUUACCACCGGUUAUUUCAAAAGUUAACGGUAAAACUUUCGCUGUUAUUUUUAUAAAAGAUAUUUCUAUCGUUUUCUAACUAAGACAAUUAUUCUGUUGUGGGGUCCAUCAAUGAUAGUGUCGUCGAACGAAUAUUCCUUGACAAAAAGAAUAUUUUCCGACCAAACGAAUAUUCCCUAACACAACGAAUAUUUUAUAUCAACUUGCAUACUUUGAAAAAAAAUUAAAUAUCGCGUUCAACUUUAACCUUUUAUCAAUUUAACCAUUUAAUAAAUAGAAUAAUAAUUAUAAAAAAAUUCAAUACUUUCAUUUCAUAAAUUCGGGGUCUCACAAUACUGAACUGAAAAACUAAAUCUUUUUAUUCAUUGUUUAUUCUUAUUAGUUUAUUCUUGUUAAUUUAGUUAAUUAAUUCGAAAUCCCCUUUUCAUUAGAAAUCAUAGGAUAAAUAUAAAACAAAUCACUUUUUGUGGGAUCGAUCCUUUCUUACUACUUUGUUAAUUGUUUGAAUUUUUAAAGUGAAAGUGAGGUUAAUUUAGGAGUGUAAACGACAGCUCCCAAAUUUUGGCGACGUUGCCAGGGAAUAAUUUGGCAUUUUGUUUUUAUUCUAUUAUUUGUUUUUUUUGUUUAUAACUCAAUCUUCUCAGGCUACUACAUUAGAUUUUGACCUAAGAAUUUAGAAAACUACAAGGAGACUAACGAAGCAAAAUCAGAAAACUCAACAGUCUACUGCAGAUUUGGCCGUGGCUUCUGCAUCAUCACCAGGCCUCAAUAUAGCUUUGGAGCUACUUUCGAACGAAUCAUCCACCGAAUCCGAUAAGGAUGAAGAGAUGGGGGUUCCAAAUAACAACAGAACUCUCAGGGAGUUGGUAACUCCUAAUUUAAAUCAGCAACAUUUAUGUAUUAAAUAUCCUAAUUUAGAUGCUUCAUUUGAACUUAAAUUCGGAAAAAUCCCUUUACUGCCUACUUUUCGUGGCCUUAUAGGCAUGGACCCCUACAAACAUUUGAAGGAAUUCUAUGUGGUGUGCUCCACCAUGAGACCACUUGGGAUCACGGAAGAGCAAAUAAAGCUUAGAGUCUUUCCCUUCUCACUAGCAGAUCUGGAAAAGGAUUGGCUAUACUACUUGCGCUUAGGUUCGAUAUAAUCUUAGAAUGACAUGAAACAAUUGUUCCUAGAGAAAUACUUCCCAUCCUUGAGAUUAGCUAACAUCAGGAAGGAGAUCUGUGGGAUUAGAUAAUUCAGUGGAGAGACACUAUAUGAGUAUUGGGAGAGAUUCAAAAAGCUCUGCUCUAGCUUUCUACCACAUCAAAUAGAUGAACAACACCUUAUCCAGUAUUUCUACGAAGGGUUGGUACCAAUGGAUAAAAGCAUGAUCGACGUAACUAGUGGAGGAUCACUAGUUGAUAAGACCCUAGAGGCUGCGAGGAAUUUGAUUGCAAACAUGGCUGUAAACUCACAACAAUAUGGAACUAGAAUGAAUCAGGCACCAGUAAGGGUAAGCGAGGUGAGCACGUGUGAUCAUGGACAACAAAUUUUUGAACUAAAGACUAUGGUUAGACAAAUAGAUACAGGUCAAGUACCAGCUACAAAGUUUUGUGGGAUCUGUCUACAACCCAAUCACAAUAUAGGUGAAUGCCCAACAUUGCAGGAUAACGAGACUAACCAACAAGCCAAUGCCAUGGGAAAUUACCAAGCACCACAAAAGAAUUAUGAUCCCUAUUCAAACACAUACAACCCAGGAUGGAGUGUAAGAUCCCAACUUUUAUGAAUAAAGAUGAAUUUUCUAUAAAUAUCAUUUUUGAAUAGUAUGGAGUGAAUUUAAUAUAAUGUUAUAAUUGUGGGUAAUAUUUAUAAAUUUUGCAAAGUACGCAAGUUGUUAUAUUAUAUUCGAUUGGUCAGGGAAUAUUCGUUUUAACAGGGAAUAUUCGUACGAUGGCACAAUCAUUGGUGGACACCACAACGUAAUUAUUGUUGGAUUGAUAAAACGACAAAAAUAUCUUUUUAUAAAUAACGGCGGAAGUUUUACCGUUAACUGUUGAACUACCCGGUAGUAAAAGUACAGUAAUACGCGUGGUUGCAUAGUAGCACACGAUAUUGAUUAUUGAUGCUUACGUAAGAAGUCACUUAGUUUUGCUCAAUAAUUGUUACAAUAAUUACUGUUCAAUAUUUUAUUUUAUUGAUUCAAUAAUUGCUGCGUUGAUAUUUUAUAUUAUUGUUGUUUCAAUAAUUGUCACUGUACAGUAUUUUUCAUUAUCAAAUCAAUAAUUCAUAUUAUUUGAAUAAUAUUAUUAGAUAGCAUUAUUGGAAAUUCUAGAAAGUUCUAUCAAGGAGAAGUUUGGUCACCUAAUUGCGCGCAAGUAAGGAGAAAUCCUUAUCGGAAAGCCCCCUCUUUCCUGGGAACUGUCUGAUUAUCAUUAUUGUGAUUCUGUGAUAUUAUUUGUGAAUAAUUAAUUAUUGAUAAGGAAAUAUUUAUUCGAUGAGGAUAUAAAUGAUGAAUUUAUUUAUUUUAUGUGGUUAUAAAUGAAGGAAUUAAUGUUGAGAUAUUUUAUCAGUAUUUUAUCGUAUUAGAGGUAUUAAAAAAUCAAAUCGGUAUUCUUAAAGCUCUAUUGCGUAAGUUAUAAUUUUGAUCUGACUGUCGGAUCGUUGUGAUUUUUGGAUAUGUUAUACAUAUAUAAGUUGAGUAUAUGUCCACAAAUUUUGAACCGUUAAUAAUUAGCGUAUGAUUUGUUAUGAAUUUUAAGAGGUAUUGAAAAUCAUCAGUUUGUGGAUUUCGGAUAUUUUCUGUUUGGAAUUUGGAAAAACUUUUUCUGAAAAGUUGUAGAGAAUUCAAUUUCGUAUGGAAUAGACAUAAAAUUCGUAUUUUUCUGAUAAAAGGGCUAUUUAUUAUAAAUUACUGAAGUUUCGGAAAAUAAAAUAAUUUUUAUUAAAAUUAGGUCGGACCCACUUUUGGUUGUUGAGAAAGAUGGCUGUUCUUUGGUGGACCCCACUUGUGGUGGCAUAAAUUUUUUAAAAAUGCAUGCGUAGAAAAAAAAAAUUAAAUUAAUAUUUUAUUAAUUUAGUCUCCUUUGGCGUUUUAGCAUUUUCCUAUAAAUAGGGUGCUUAGUUAGAAUUGAAAAUCACACAAGAAUCAGAGAAUUAUUCUUCUAUAAUCUUGAGCGUAUUUCUUUAGAGUUUUAGAAAGCUAUGAGCGUAGGAAACUGUGAAAGUUUUCUUCAAGAAUAUCCCUGCUAUAUCAGUUGGAAUACUCUUCUUUUCAAGGUAAGGGAUGUUAUUUUUGUUAAAUAUUCUCUUGAAAUAAUAUUUUCUUCCAAACUCUGUAGUAUAUAAGUAAUAUUAUUUCAUUUUAGAUUUCAAAUUCUAUACUCGUUUUAUUAAAGUUUUGGCUUCUAUACUCCAUGAAAUUAGUAGAAUAUCCUUGAUAUUUGCGCUUCAUCCAGUAUCUUUUCAUGAAAAUAUUAUUCUGAGCAUUCUUGAUAAGUUUUAACUUUUUCAUGUCGGAGUAUUAUUCACGGGGUUACUAUUCCCGAAGUAUUAUUCACCUGGGAACUAUUCAUGAUAAAAAAUUGAUUCGUUUUCGGUCCAAAUUAUUUUUACAAUAUUAUUCUUAAAUUUUACUCUACAAAGCAUUAUCAUGUUGACAAUUUGGACGUUAUUGAUUUCUGGAUAAAUUAAAUUAUAAAUCUUUAAAAAUUUAUCCUUAAACUUGUUUUAUUGAAUUCUUAUAUCAUUGUCAUCAUCCUCAUGUUUAUAUUCUGUUGAAAGUCAUCUGUGGCCUGUAGUGCAUAGAUGGACUUGGUAUGGUUAUAACCAGGGAUUAUUCGGUAUAAUCAUGACCGUAAUGUUAUAAAUGAUGUGGUAAAAAGUCCUCAUUGGCCUGUAGUGCAUUGAUGGAAAGUUGUUGGCAUGAUCAUGACCAUGAAUACACGAAUAUCCUUGGCUCGUAGUGCAUGGAUAAUUUGUGGUCGUGAUACUAAAGAAUAUCCUUGGCCGUAGUGCAAGGGUGAUUCGAUGAUGUGGAUUAUUUAUUAAGCUGAGUCUCAGCGAUAAAAGUGAUGAAAAACCUUUUAAAUCAUAAAAGAUAGUAGAUUUUAUGGUCUACUUGACUCUUCUAAUGGAUUGCUUAUUCCGCUGCAGUUAAACUUGAUGUUUGUUAUAUUUUAUCAGUUUAACACUGUUGAAGGCUAACGAUAAAUUAUUCUGCUUUAUCUUAGUCAUAAUAUUUCUUAUUGGGCUAGUUGAGUUCACCCUUUUGCUUUCAUUGUUCUCUUCAGGAAAUGAGAACGUAGCCGGGACUAAUCGGGAAACGCAGUGACGGUCCAGAUGAUAGCAUUAGUAGUCAUCACUAUUCUAUGAAAUAGUGUGAUAAUAAAUGUAUUGAGGACUCCAUUUGAGUUGAAUACUGUCUAGUAGACAAUAUUCGUAUUAAAACUCUCAGUUUAUGUUUUGUCGUAUUUUACAAGACAGUUAUAUUAUUAAGUUGUAUUUGAAUUUUGUACCAUGUAUUUGGCGACUCAAGAUGGGUGAUGCAUACCUAUUUUGGGGGUGUCACAGUUGGUAUCAAAGCUUAGGGAUAUGAUCCCUGGCUGAGAUGUGAGAUAAAAAGUAGGAGUGGAGAGACGGAGAAUUCCUCCGCUAGUAUGACCUACCUAAAUUUAUUUGGUAUUUAAUUGGUCGGUCAGAGUAUAAGGAUAAUAUGUGACAUGUCAAUUAACCCUUGUUUUGGGGUAGUAUUUGAAAAUGACAUCUGAGAAUGUUGAGAAUAACAAUGGAGCACAGGAGACCGUUGAGUCUCCACAGAUCAACAAUCAGGAUAAUGUGCAUCAGGAAGAAAACAAUCCGCAUGCAAACAACAACGCUAACCAAAUGAUGAACGAUGGAAUGUUCAGAGGCUUUCUGUAAUUCAUGCAACAUCAGGCAAGAGAGACUCAUGUCCGAAAUACAGGUGGAAACACUGGCAACUCUCAGAUGGUCACUGCAAAAUAGUUCAAGGAGCUGGGACCACCGGAGUUUUUUGGAGAGCCAAAACCACUUAAGGCGGAGACGUGGAUAAAGCAUAUCAACAAGAUAUUUGAUGUCUUGGGAUGCUCCGAGGAGAAAAAGGUUCCCUUUUCUACCUUCAUGUUGCAGGCAGAGACAGAUUACUGGUGGGAAUCUGUAAAGCGUACUCAACCUGCCACACUGAAGAUGUCUUGGGAGAAGUUCCAAGAACUGUUCAAUGACAAGUACUUUCCUGAAAGUAUUCUUCACAUGAAAGAGGUAGAGUUCAUUAAACUGGGAAAAAAUAACAUGACCGUGUCGCAAUAUGAAGCCAAGUUUGCCGAGUUCUCCCUAUUUGCGUCCCAUUUGGUUGAUAAUGAGGAGAGAAUGACGCGAAAGUUUCUAAGAGGUUUGAAACCUAAGAUAUGUCAAUACCUUAUUGUGUUUGUAUUCAGAUGUUGUGAAUAAGGCUCAGUUAUAGGAGCGCGAUAAUGAGUCAACCCAACCAAGAGAGAGCAACCGACAAAAUGAUAAUACUAGUGGUAGCAGUCAUCGAAGCGGUAACAAGCGUGGAGGGAAUCAACAGCCCAGAAAUGGUAACCACUUCGGUGGUAAUCAUGGUCAAGACAAUAAGAGUGGACAUUUCAAGAAGAGGAGAUUCAACAAUGAUGGAAAGACAUCAGCACCAGCACCCAUUGUUAAGGAAGGAGAACGACCACUUAUCAUAUGCUUCAAAUGUGGAGGGGAGGGACACAUCAGUCCAAACUGCGCGAUGCCGUCCAAAGCAUGUUACAAUUAUGGAAGAGAAGGUCACCUAGCCCGAUUUUAUCGUUUACCGAAGACAAGUCCAGCUGGGAUGGAGGCACCAAAGGCCGUCCCAGAAAAGUCAAAACCUGUAGUGCAAGGGAGAGCGUUUGCCGUGACCUCCCAGAAAGCAAGAAACCCAAACGAGGUCAUCACGGGUAAGCUUAUCAUAAACUCUAGCGAAGUCUAUACCUUAUUUGAUACCGGUUCUACCCAUUCUUUUAUUUCUCCUACUUGCGCUCAACGUUUAAAUUUGACUCCGGAGAAAUUAGACUUUGACUUAUCUGUUGAAACUCCGUUGGGAGAAACCUUCAUUACAUCCACUGUUUAUAAGUCUUGUUUGGUUCAAAUCGGUACCCUCACAUUACCUGUCGAUCUUAUUUCAUUGAAAAUACUUGCAUUUGACGUAAUUCUAGGGAUUGAUUGGUUAACUACUCAUCAUGCAAAAAUUGAUUAUUUUCGUAAGGUUGUUAGCUUUCAUAUUCCUAACCAACCUAUUAUGCGAAUUCAAGCAACCAAACCAUUAAAAUCAAUCACUGUCAUCUCAAGCCAUAAAGCUAUUCGUUUAUUGAAAAACGGAUGUCAAGCUUUCUUAGCUCAUGUCAUGGAUUUAAACAAAAAUACGACAGUUCUGAAUGAUAUUUCUAUUGUUAAUAAAUUUCCUGACGUAUUCCCUGAAGAACUUCCUGGCCUAACCCCAGAGCAUGAAAUUGAAUUUUGUAUCGACCUUGAACCCGGUACAAUACCCAUUUCCAAAUUCCCAUAUCGAAUGGCUCCUAUUGAACUUUAGGAGUUAAAGACUCAAUUGCAGGAAUUGUUAGACAUCGAUUUCAUUCAUCCUAGUACGUCUCCUUGAAGUGCUCAUGUUCUAUUCGUGAAGAAGAAAGAUGGGAGUAUGCGACUGUAUUGAUUAUCGGGAGUUGAAUCAUGUCACCAUCAAAAAUAGGUACCCAUUGCCACGUAUUGAUGACCUGUUUAACCAGUUGCAAGGCGCCAAAUUCUUUUCAAAGAUCAAUCUUCGUUCCGGAUAUCAUCAGUUAAAGAUUAAAACCGAUGACAUUCCAAAGACAGCUUUCAGAACUCGGUACGGGCAUUAUGAAUUCCUAGUCAUAUCUUUUGGAUUGACUAAUGCUCCUGCUGCCUUCAUGGAUAUGAUGAACCGAGUAUUCAAGGAAUAUUUGGAUCACUUUGUGGUCAUCUUUAUUGAUGACACCCUCAUAUAUUCCAAAAGCUGUGACACCCCCAAAAUUAGGUAUACAUCACCCAUCUUGGGUCGCCACUUACAUGGUACAUAAAUCAAAUACAAACGUAAUUAUACAACUGUCGUGUAACAUACGACAAAACAUAACUGAGAAUUUUGAAACGAAUAUUGUCUUCUAGACAGUAUUUAAACACAAUGGAAUCCUCAUUACAUUUAUUAUCACACUAUUUCACAGAAUAGUGAGGACUACUAAUGCUAUCAUCUGGACUGUCACUCCGUUCCCUGACUCAUCACAGCUAUAUUCUCAUUUCCUGAAGAGAACAGUGAAAGAAAUGGUGAGCUCAACUAGCCCAGUAAGAAAUAUUAUGACUAAAGUAAUGCAGAAUAAAUUAUCCUUAGCCUUCAACAGUAUAACAACUGAUAGAAUAUAAUUGACAACAAGUUUUAGAUCAAAAACUGCAGCGAAAAUAAGCAAUCCAUUAAAAGAGUCAAGUAGAGAAUAAAAUCUACUAUCUUUUAAGAUUUAAAAGGUUUUUCAUCACUUUUAUCGCAGGGACUUAACUUAAUAAAUAAUCCACAUCAUCGAAUCACCCCUGCACUACGGCCAAGGAUAUUCUUUAGGGUCACGACCACAAAUUAUCCAUGCACUACGGGCCAAAGAUAAUCGUGUUUUCAUCAAUGGUCCUGAUUAUGCUAUAAAACAAUUCAUCUUUGCUCCCUUGGUCGAAGAGAAUCCAUAGCCAUAAUCAUACCAAAAAUUGUCCAUCAAUGCACUACGGGCCAAUGAGGACUUUUUCCACAUCAUUUGUAACAUUACGGUCAUGAUUAUACUGAAUAAUCCCUGGUCAUAAUCAUACCAAGUCCAUCUAUGCACUACAGGCCACAGAUGACUUUCAACAGAAUAUAAACAUGAGGAUGAUGAAAAUGAUAUAUAAAUUCAAUAAAACAAGUUCACGAAUUUAUUUGUCCAGGAACCAAUAGCGUUCUAAUUGUCAACAAGAUAUUGUUUUGUGCUGUAAAAUUCAAGAAUCAUCAGAAGAAUAUUUCCAUAAAAAGAUAUUGGAUGAAGCACAAAUAUUAAGAAUAUUCCACUAAUUUCAUGGAGUAUAGAAGUUAAAAUUUUAACCAACUGAGUAUAAUAACGAAUGGAAUAACAAAAGAAAUCACCAUGCAUGUGGUACUUCGUAUAGACAGGUUAUUCCAACAGAAUAAUAAUAACGGAACCAGGUCAGGUGAAAUUCACACCGACAGGAUGUUCCAACAGAAUAAUAAAUAGUUAAAACGGAACCAGGUCCGGCGUAUAGCACAGACAGGAUAUUCCAACAGAAUAACUGAAUAAUUAAAACGGAACUAGGUCCGGCGUAUAGCACAGAUAGGAUGUUCCAACAGAAUAGUAAAGACAAAAUAAUAGAAGAAUGUCACCAAGUAUAUGGUAGCCCGCUUAUACAGGUUAUUCCAACAGAAUAAAUAAGAAUGGAAUAACAUAAGAAUUUCACCAAGUAUAGGGUAUGCCGCGUAUACAGGUCAUGUAUAGGGUAUGCCACUUUUACAGGUUAUUCCAACAGAAUAAUAAAGAAUGGAAUAACAGAAGUUCUCUUCAUGAAUAUAAAAGAAUAAUAUCCCUUACGGGUACAACAAAUAAUAUCCCUUACCGUAAAAGAAACUGGUUAUAAGAGUAGGGAAGUAGCAGAAUACUUUUCUUCUUUCUCUCUAUAGUUUUCUCUCUCUAGAGUUUCAUUGAAUUCGUAAGGAAAUAAUGAAGGAAUGAGCUUCUAUUUAUAGAAGAAUAGACUGCAUAGUAACUAACUCAUGAACGGUCCAGAUUGAUUUACUUUAAUCUGACGGUCCAUAUUUAAAGCAAAAUUUUUUAAAUAAAAUAUAAUAUAUUCUAUUUAUAUAAAAAGAUUUUUACUAUGCAAACACUAUGCAUGCACUAUGAAAACACUAUGCAUAAUAGAAUAUAAUAUAUUCUAUUUAUAGAAUAACUUUAAUAAAGUAUUUUGUUUUAUAUAAAAAGAUGUUCUGUUUUAUUACAUUAAUAAUACGAAUAAAACAAAACAUCAUCAUCAUUAUAAUAAUUCAUAUUAUUAAUCGACAAUAAUUGAAUCAAACUGAGUGACUUCUCACAUAAACAUCAAUAAUCAAUACCGUGUACUGCUAUGCAACCACGCGUAUUACUGUACUUUUACUACCGAGUAGUUCAAUAGUUUUAACGGUAAAACUUUCGCCGUUAUUUUCAUAAAAAUAUUUUUGUCGUUUUCUCAAUCCGACAAUAAUUCCGUUGUGGGGUUUACCAAUGAUUGUACUAUCGUACGGAUAUUCCCGACAAAAAGAAUAUAUCCCGACCAAUCGAAUAUUAUAUAACAACUUGCUUACUUUGCAAAAUUUAUAAAUAUUACCCACAACUAUAACAUUAUAUCAAAUCCACACCAUAAUAUAAAAAAAAUUAUUUCGAGAAAAUUAAAUCUUUAUUCAUAAAAUCUGGGGUCUCACAAAAGCCGUGAAGAUCAUGAGCAACAUUUGAGGCUGAUACUCCAAAACCUUCGUGAAAACAAGCUUUAUGCCAAGUUAAAGAAAUGCGAGUUCUGGCUUGAAGAAGUAGCAUUCCUUGGGCACGCGGUAUCAAAUCAUGGCAUAUCUGUUGACCCGGCAAAGAUUGAAGCAAUUCAAAGCUGGGAGCAACCUAAAUCAGUGACCGAAGUACGUAGCUUUCUUGGCUUAGCUGGUUAUUAUCGGUAAUUCGUAGAAGGGUUUUCUCGAAUCGCUACUCCAUUAACUCAGCUGACUCGAAAAGAUAACAAAAUUCGGUUGGAGCGUGGAAUGUGAGAAGAGUUUUCAAGAACUCAAGAAGAGACUCAUUUCAGCACCUGUUCUGACAAUACCAUCUGGCUCGGAGGGAUUUGUCAUCUAUAGUGAUGGUUCGGGCAAAGGGUUAGGACGUGUUCUCAUGCAACAUGGGAAAGUCAUAGCUUAUGCCUCUCGGCAACUCAAAGAAUAUGAGAGGAAUUAUCCUACUCAUGAUCUAGAAUUGGCAGCUGUUGUCUUUGCACUAAAAAUUUGGAGGCAUUACUUGUAUUGGGAGAAAGUGGAGAUCUUUACGGAUUAUAAAAGCCUCAAAUAUUUCUUCACCUAAAAGGAACUCAACAUGCGACAACGAUGUUGGCUUGAACUGUUGAAAGAUUAUGAUCAUACCAUUCAAUACCAUUCUGGUAAAGCGAACAUAGUAGCUGACGCAUUGAGUAGAAGAUCAUAUGCAGGUAUGAGUGCGAUAUUGUCAACGCAAUGGCCCAUUUUGUAUGACUUGCAAAGGAUGGAGAUAGAGUUAAAGACUCCAGGGACCCAUGUGAUGAUAGUUAAUAUACGAGUAGAACUGACUUUAAUCGAUAAAGUUAAAGUUGCUCAAGCUAUAGACUUGUAGCUGAUGCGUAUGAGGAAGAAAGUGCAAGAAGGUGCUAUGCCGGAAGCAAGAAUCGAUGAAGAAGGAAUACUUCGAGUUAACUCCAAACUUUGUGUUCCUAACGACCCUAAUUUAAAGUAUAAAAUCAUGAUGGGCGCACAACACACCGUUUGCAAUCCAAUCUGGGAGUACCAAAAUAUAUCAUGAUCUUCGACAUACAUUUUGGUGGAGAAAUAUGAAGAGAGAGGUAGCGGAGUUUAUCUCAAGGUGUUUAACUUGUCAAUGAGUUAAGGCGGAGCAUCAAGUACCAAAAGGUCCAUUGCAACGACUUGAAAUUCCAAAAUGGAAGUGGGAGCACAUUACCAUGGAUUUCGUUACUGGUCUUCCCAAGGUUUCUCAAAGCAUAGAUGCAAUUUGGGUCAUUGUUGAUAGAUUUACCAAGUCUGCUCAUUUCUUACCUAUACGAGAAACUUAUACACUUGAACUUCUUGCUCGUAUGUACAUAAACGAGAUUGUAAGAUUGCAUGGUAUUCCAGUAUCCAUAGUUUCUGAUCGAGACCCAAGAUGCACUUCAAGAUUUUGGGUUAGUUUGCAAAAAGCUAUGGGCACGGAUUUACGAUUUAGUUCGGCUUAUCAUCCUCAAAUGGACGGGCAGUCAGAGAGGACUAUUCAAACUCUUGAAGAUCUAUUAAGAAUCUGUGUCCUUGACUUCAAGGGAAGUUGGGACAAGUUCUUACCAUUGGUGGAGUUUUCCUACAACAAAAGUUAUCAAGCAAGUAUUGACAUGUCUCCAUUCGAAGCGUUGUAUGGAAGAAAGUGUCGUUCUCCAGUAUGCUUGGAUGAGGUAGGUGAAGCAACGUUGUUGAGAUCGGAGUUGGUACAUAUGACUACGGAAAAGAUUUAAACGAUUCGACAACGUAUAAAAACCUCACAAGAUCGACAAAAGAGUUAUGUUGAUCUUCAUCGAAAGGACGUGGAAUUCUAUAUUGGAGAUCAUGUGUUAUUACGUGUUGCUCCAUGGAAAGAAGUUACGAGAUUUGGAAAGAGAGGAAAGCUCAAUCCUCGAUUCAUUGGCCCAUUUUUAAUCCUCGAACGAGUAGGAAUUGUGGCCUAUAGACUCGCCUUACCGCCAAGUAUGUCUCGUGUUCAUAACGUUUUUCACAUAUCUAUGUUACGUAAGUAUGUUAAAGACCCGAACCACAUUAUUAAGUUAGAACCAGACGAGAUAGAGGAAUAUUUAACAUAUGAAGAGUUACCUGUUAAAAUCUUGGAUAAGAAGGAGCAUAUUUUACGCUCCAAGGUUAUACCUCAAGUCAAAAUUUUGUGGAGAAACCACGAUGUUGAGGAAAUGACCUAGGAGUUAGAAUCUGAAAUAAAAUCAAGGUAUCCUUACCUCUUCGACAUACCAGGUACGUACCCUAAUUUUGAGGGCGAAAUUUCAUAAGAAGGGGAGAUUGUAAAACCCCAACUUUUAUGAAUAAAGAUGAAUUUUCUAUAAAUAUCAUUUUUAAAUAUUAUGGAGUGAAUUUAAUAUAAUGUUAUAGUUGUGGGUAAUAUUUAUAAAUUUUGCAAAGUACGCAAGUUGAUAUAUUAUAUUCGAUUGGUCAGGGAAUAUUCGUACGACGACAAAAUCAUUGGUGGACCCCACAACGUAAUUAUUUUUGGAUUGAGAAAACGACAAAAAUAUCUUUUUAUAAAUAACGGCGAAAGUUUUACCGUUAACUGUUGAACUAUCCGGUAGUAAAAGUACAGUAAUACGCGUGGUUGCAUAUUAGUACACGGUAUUGAUUAUUGAUGCUUACGUGAGAAGUCAUUCAGUUUUGCUCAAUAAUUGUUACAGUAAUUAAUGUUCAAUAUUUUAUUUUAUUGAUUCAAUAAUUGCUACGUUGAUAUUUUAUGUUAUUGUUUUUUCAAUAAUUAUCACUGCACAGUAUUUCUCAUUAUCAAAUAAAUAAUUUAUAUUAUUUGAAUAAUAUUAUUAGAUAACAUUAUUGGCAAUGUCUAGAAAGUUCUGUCAAUGAGAGAUUUGGUCACCUAAUUGCGCGUCAGUAAGGAAAAAUUCUUAUCGAAAAGCCCCCUCUUUCCUGGGAACUGCCUGGUUGUCAUUAUUGUGAUUCUGUGAUAUUUUUUGUGAGUAAUUAAUUAUUGAUAAGAAAAUAUUUAUUCGAUGCGGAUAUAAAUGAUGGAUUUAUAUAUUUUAUGUGGUUAUAAAUGAAGGAAUUAAUGUUGAGGUAUUUUAUCAGUAUUUUAUCGGAUUAGAGGUAUUAAAAAAUUAAAUCGGUAUUCUUAAAGCUCUAUUGCGUAAGAUAUAAUUUUGAUCCGACCGUCGGAUCAUUGUGAUUUUUGGAUAUAUUAUACAUAUAUAAGUUGAGUAUAUGUUCACAAAUUUUGAACCGUUAAAAAUUAGCGUAUGAUUUGUUAUGAAUUUUAAGAGGUAUUGAAAAUCAUCUGUUUGUGGAUUUCGGAUAUUUUUUGUUUGGAAUUUGGAAAAAUUUUCUUCUGCAAAGUUAUAGAGAAUUCAAUUUCGUAUGGAAUGGACAUAAAAUUCGUAUUUUUUUGAUAAAGGACUAUUUAUUAUGAAUUACUGAAAUUUCAAAAAAUAAAAUAAUUUUUAUUAAAAUUAGGUGGGACCCACUUUUGGUUGUUGGGAAAGAUGGCUGCUCUUUGGUGGGCCCCACUUGUGGUGGCUAAAUUUUUUAAAAAAAAGCAUGCGUAGAAAAAAAAAUUAAAAUAAUAUUUUAUUAAUUUAGUCUUCUUUGGCGUUCUAACAUUUUCGUAUAAAUAGGGUGUUUAGUUAGAAUUAAAAAUCACACAAGAAUCAGAGAAUUAUUCUUCUAUAAUCUUGAGCAUAUAUCUUUAGAGUUUUAGAAAGCUUUGAGCGUAGAAAAUAGUGAAAGUUUUCUUCAAGAAUAUCCCCGCUAUACCAGUUGGAAUACUCUUCUUUUCAAGGUAAGGGAUGUUAUUUUUGUUCAAUAUUCGCUUGAAAUAAUAUUUUCAUCCAUACUCUGUAGUAUGUAAGUAAUAUUAUUUCGUUUCAGAUUUCGAAUUCUAUACUCGUUUUGUUAAAGUUUUGGCUUCUAUACUCCAUGAAAUUAGUAAAAUAUCCUUGAUAUUUGCGCUUUAUCCAGUAUCUUUUCAUGAAAAUAUUAUUCUGAGCAUUCUUGAUAAGUUUUAACUUUUUUAUGUCGGAGUACUAUUCACGGGGUUACUAUUCUCGAAGUACUAUUCACCUGGGGUACUAUUCAUGAUAAAAUUGAUUCGUUUUCGGUCCAAAUUAUUUUUACAAUAUUAUUCUUGAAUUUUACUCUACAAAGCAGUAUCAUGUUGACAAUUUGGACGUUAUUGAUUUCUGGAUAAAUUAAAUUAUAAAUCUUUAAAAAUUUAUCCUUGAACUUNNNNNNNNNNNNNNNNNNNNNNNNNNNNNNNNNNNNNNNNNNNNNNNNNNNNNNNNNNNNNNNNNNNNNNNNNNNNNNNNNNNNNNNNNNNNNNNNNNNNNNNNNNNNNNNNNNNNNNNNNNNNNNNNNNNNNNNNNNNNNNNNNNNNNNNNNNNNNNNNNNNNNNNNNNNNNNNNNNNNNNNNNNNNNNNNNNNNNNNNNNNNNNNNNNNNNNNNNNNNNNNNNNNNNNNNNNNNNNNNNNNNNNNNNNNNNNNNNNNNNNNNNNNNNNNNNNNNNNNNNNNNNNNNNNNNNNNNNNNNNNNNNNNNNNNNNNNNNNNNNNNNNNNNNNNNNNNNNNNNNNNNNNNNNNNNNNNNNNNNNNNNNNNNNNNNNNNNNNNNNNNNNNNNNNNNNNNNNNNNNNNNNNNNNNNNNNNNNNNNNNNNNNNNNNNNNNNNNNNNNNNNNNNNNNNNNNNNNNNNNNNNNNNNNNNNNNNNNNNNUGGCCCGUAGUGCAUGGAUAAUUUGUGGUCGUGAUACUAAAGAAUAUCAUUGGCCGUAGUGCAGGGGUGAUUCGAUGAUGUGGAUUAUUUAUUAAGCUGAGUCUUAGCGAUAAAAGUGAUGAAAAACCUUUUAAAUCAUAAAAGAUAGUAGAUUUUAUGCUCUACUUGACUCUUCUAAUGGAUUGCUUAUUCCGCUGCAGUUAAACUUGAUGUUUGUUAUAUUUUAUCAGUUUAACACUGUUGAAGGCUAACGAUUCUGCUUUAUCUUAGUCAUAAUAUUUCUUACUGGGCUAGUUGAGUUCACCCUUUUGCUUUCGUUGUUCUCUUCAGGAAAUAAGAACGUAGCCGGGACUAGGCGGAGAACGGAGUGAUGGUCCAGAUGAUAGCAUUAAUAGUCCUCACUAUUCUAUGAAAUAGUGUGAUAAUAAAUGUAUUGAGGACUCCAUUUGAGUUGAAUACUGUCUAGUAGACAAUAUUCGUAUUAAAACUCUCAGUUUAUAUUUUGUCGUAUUUUACACGACAGUUGUAUUUGAAUUUUUUACCAUGUAUUUGUCGACUCAAGAUGGGCGAUGUAUACCUAUUUUGGGGGCGUCAUAGAGAGAUUAUAUAAACCUCAGUUAUGGAGGAAAUAAGCCACCAACAGAAGGAA